rnacentral:SRP_RNA from 1 species
GGUCUGGACCGUCGCAUCCGGGUACUCCCGAACCCCGUCAGGCCCGGGAGGGAGCAGCGGUAGGGAGCCGCCCGGAGUGCCGGCGAACAUCUGGGCUGGA